UACGUAGGGUGCAAGCGUUAAUCGGAAUUACUGGGCGUAAAGCGUGCGCAGGCGGUUGUGUAAGACAGAUGGGAAAUCCCCGGGCUUAACCUGGGAAUGGCAUUUGGGACUGCAAGGCUCGAGUGCGGCAGAGGAGACUGGAAUUCCUGGUGUAGCAGUGAAAUGCGUAGAUAUCAGGAGGAACACCGAUGGCGAAGGCAGGUCUCUGGGCUGACACUGACGCUCAUGCACGAAAGCGUGGGGAGCAAACAGG
rnacentral:rRNA from 1 species